rnacentral:rRNA from 1 species
AGUUGAUCAUGGCUCAGGAUGAACGCUAGCUACAGGCUUAACACAUGCAAGUCGAGGGGCAGCAUGGGAGUUGCUGCAACUCCGAUGGCGACCGGCGCACGGGUGAGUAACGCGUAUCCAACCUGGCCCUUAGUAGGGAACAGCCCGGCGAAAGUCGGAUUAAUGCCCUAUGUUUUCCAAUGAUGGCAUCUGACUUGGAACAAAGAUUCAUCGCUAAGGGAUGGGGAUGCGUCUGAUUAGCUUGUCGGCGGGGUAACGGCCCACCGAGGCGACGAUCAGUAGGGGUUCUGAGAGGAAGGUCCCCCCACAUUGGUACUGAGACACGGACCAAACUCCUACGGGAGGCAGCAGUGAGGAAUAUUGGUCAAUGGGCGUAAGCCUGAACCAGCCAAGUAGCGUGCCAGGAAGACUGCCCUAUGGGUUGUAAACUGCUUUUAUGCGGGAAUAAAGUCAGGUACGCGUACCUGUUUGUAUGUACCGCAUGAAUAAGGACCGGCUAAUUCCGUGCCAGCAGCCGC